AGAGUUUGAUCAUGGCUCAGAUUGAACGCUGGCGGCAGGCUUAACACAUGCAAGUCGAGCGGAAACGAUGAUAGCUUGCUAUCAGGCGUCGAGCGGCGGACGGGUGAGUAACGCGUAGGAAUCUACCUAGUAGUGGGGGAUAGCCCAGAGAAAUUUGGAUUAAUACCGCAUACGCCCUACGGGGGAAAGGAGGGGAUCUUCGGACCUUUCGCUAUUAGAUGAGCCUGCGUCGGAUUAGCUAGUUGGUGGGGUAAAGGCCUACCAAGGCGACGAUCCGUAGCUGGUCUGAGAGGAUGAUCAGCCACACUGGGACUGAGACACGGCCCAGACUCCUACGGGAGGCAGCAGUGGGGAAUAUUGGACAAUGGGGGCAACCCUGAUCCAGCCAUGCCGCGUGUGUGAAGAAGGCCUUCGGGUUGUAAAGCACUUUCAGCGAGGAGGAAAGGGUGUAGCUUAAUACGCUGCAUCGGGAC
rnacentral:rRNA from 1 species